rnacentral:rRNA from 1 species
CAACAACGCUGGCGGCAGGCUAACACCUGCAGUUGAGCGCGCCUUUCGGGGUGAGCGGCGGACGGGUUAGUAACGCGUGGGAACGUACCCUUUUCUGCGGAAUAGCCUCUGGAAACGGAGAGUAAUACCGCAUACGCCCUUCGGGGGAAAGAUUUAUCGGAGAAGGAUCGGCCCGCGUUAGAUUAGAUAGCUUGGUGGGGUAACGGCUUACCAAGUCUACGAUCUAUACCUGGUUUUAGAGGAUGAUACAGCAACACUGGGACUGAGACACGGCCCAGACUCCUACGGGAGGCACGCAGUGGGGAAUCUUGGACAAUGGGCGCAAGCCUGAUCCAGCCAUGACCGCGUGAGUGAAGAAGGCCUUAGAGGUCGUAAACGCUCUUCUCGCCUGUGAUUGAUAAUGACAAGUAGCAGGUAAAAGAAAACCCGAGGAUAACUCCGUGCCAGCAGCACGCGGUAAAUACGGACGAGGGGU